rnacentral:rRNA from 1 species
ACGGGGUGCAGCAGGCGCGAAACCUCUGCAAAUGCGCGAAAGCGUGACAGGGGAAUUCCACGUGCAAGCUAUGCUUGCUUUUCUCAAGUCUAAAACGCUUGGGGAAUAAGGGCUGGGCAAGACCCGUGCCAGCCGCCGCGGUAACACGGGCAGCUCUAGUAGCGUUCGCGAAUAUUGGGCCUAAAGCGUACGUAGCCUGUUAAUUAAGUUCCUGGUGAAAGCAUGCGACUCAAUCGUGUGAGUUGCCAGGAAAACUGAUUGACUUGGGACCGGAAGAGGUCGGAGGUAUUCCUUGGGUAGGGGUAAAAUCCUGUAAUCCUUGAAGGACCACCGGUGGCGAAGGCGCCCGACUGGGACGGGUCCGACGGUGAGGUACGAAAGCUAGGGGAGCGACCCGGAUUAGAUACCCGGUUAGUCCUAGCCGUAAAUGAUGUCUGUUUGGUAUUGCACUCCUUACGAAGGAUUGCAGUGCCGUAGGAAGCCGUAAACAGACCGCCUGGGAGUACGCCGCAAGC